GGAUGCCGAUCAUACCAGCCACUAAUGCCACGGAUCCCAUCAGAACUCCGAAGUCGAAGCGUUGCUUCGCGGCGAGAGUUAGUACUAGGAUGGCGUGAACCCUUUGGGAAUCCUCGUGUUGCAUAAC
rnacentral:rRNA from 1 species